rnacentral:rRNA from 1 species
UUCGCAAUGCCCGAAAGGGUGACUAUGCGACGCCGCGUGCGGGAAGAAGGCCUUCGGGUUGUAAACCGCUGUCGGGAGUUAAGAAAUGUAAGGAUGUUAAUAGCAUCUUUGCUUGACUAAGGCUCCGGAGGAAGCCACGGCUAACUCUGUGCCAGCAGCCGCGGUAAUACAGAGGCGGCAAGCGUUGUUCGGAAUUAUUGGGCGUAAAGAGCACGUAGGCGGCUAUGUAAGUCGGUUGUGAAAGCCUUCCGCUCAACGGGAGAACAGCAUCCGAUACUGCAUGGCUUGAGUGCGGGAGGGGAGAGUGGAACUUCUGGUGGAGCGGUGAAAUGCGUAGAUAUCAGAAGGAACGCCGGCGGCGAAAGCGGCUCUCUGGCCCAUAACUGACGCUGAGUGUGCGAAAGCUAGGGGAGCAAACGGGAUUAGAUACCCCGGUAGUCCUAGCCGUAAACGAUGGGCACUAAGUAGAGGGGUUUU